rnacentral:rRNA from 1 species
AGAGUUUGAUCCUGGCUCAGGACGAACGCUGGCGGCGUGGAUUAGGCAUGCAAGUCGAACGGUAUAGACCUUUCGGGGUUCAGAGAGUGGCGAACGGGUGAGUAACACGUAGGUAAUCUACCCUCAAAACGGGGACAACCCAGGGAAACUUGGGCUAAUACCGGAUGCGUGCAAGCAAUGUUUUGGCUGUUAAUGCUAUUCACGGAAGUGAGUAGUGUUAAUGGUUGAGAGCAUUAUUUGCAUAAAAGGUGGCAUAUGCUGCCGUUUGAGGAUGAGCCUGCGUCCUAUUAGUUAGUUGGUGAGGUAAUGGCUUACCAAGGCGAUGAUAGGUAGGCGGCCUUAACGGGUGGUCGCCCACACUGGGAUUGAGAGACGGCCCAGACUCCUACGGGAGGCAGCAGUCGAGAAUAGUCUACAAUGGACGGAAGUCUGAUAGUGCGACGCCGCGUGAACGAAGAAUCCCUUCGGGGUGUAAAGUUCUUUUAUACGUGAGCAGUGCCCUUUAUAUGAAUAGUAUAGAGGGAGGGAUUUAAGCGUAUGAAUAAGCAACGGCUAACUCCGUGCCAGCAGCCGCGGUAACACGGGGGUUGCAAGCGUUGUCCGGAAUUACUAGGCGUAAAGUGCAGGUAGGCGGAUAGAUAAGUUUAAGGUUAAAGGCUACGGCUUACCCGUAGUAAGGCGUUAGAUACUGUUUAUCUGGAAUGCGGUUGAGGGAGACAGAAUUCCUGGUGUAGCGGUGGAAUGCGCAGAGAUCAGGAGGAAUACCGAAGGCGAAGGCAGUCUUCUAAGCCGAUAUUGACGCUAAACUGCGAAGGUGUGGGGAUCAAACAGGAUUAGAUACCCUGGUAGUCCACACAGUAAACGAUAAUCACUAGGUGUUGGGUUCGUAUAGGACUCGGUGCCGGAGCUAACGCGAUAAGUGAUUCGCCUGGGGAGUACGAUCGCAAGGUUGAAACUCAAAGGAAUUGACGGGGGCCCGCAC